UUCUGGAUAUUGUCUAACUUCGAUUGAUAGAAUGAGUUCCACAUCUGCAAAUACAGAAGGCCUGUUGUGUUACAUGAAUUUCAGGGAAAGAAGGCCCUGCCCCGUCGCUAAUGGAUGGUCCUAAGAGCCACACACACGACACCAUGAAGUCCUCACUGGCCACUGGAUGAAGGAAGACUGGCAGCUCUACUUCAAUUGUCUCAUCCUGGCACAACUAGAUCAAAAUCCAAAUACAAUCUGUGUGUGGAUGCUAUACCACAGGAAAUGGAAGAGGUACACAUUCUCCAAACAUCAGAUACUUUAUACAUAUACUGUUUCAAAACUACAGAACCUCUGCAGAGAGAGUACUGAUGUCUUCACUGCGCAGAUGAGAAAGGUGAGAUUCAGUUGUUUGUCUGUCCCCACUCAUGGGGUGGUGUUUAUGUUACCCAAACUGUUUCCAAAAAGACUGUUGCUUUGAAAUAGGCAAGAUUUUAGGUUGAAGACUUUAAAGAAGCGUUAGCAAACUCUUAAAAUUCCUCUUAUGUCAGAAUUCCAAAACAUCAUUUAUUAGCUCUUCCUCAUUCAAAGGCAAAGGGGAUUACUACAGGAGCAUCUCUGUGGCUCAUUAACACUAA
rnacentral:lncRNA from 1 species